UAUGGAGCUUAAGACGCCAGGACAGCUCACGUUAAACACCCCUUGAUAAAGGAAUAAACCGAGUGAACCCUGCCCCAGUGUUUUUGGUUGGGGCGACCGCGGGGAAAUACAAAACCCCCAUGUGGAACAGGAACACUAAGUUCCUAAAUCCAAGAGCUCCCGCUCUAAUUAACAGAAUUUCUGACCAGCUAAGAUCCGGCAAUGCCGAUCAACGGAACGAGUUACCCUA
rnacentral:rRNA from 1 species